UAGUGGGUCCCCUCAUCUAGCUUUCUC
rnacentral:piRNA from 1 species